rnacentral:rRNA from 1 species
UGAGGAAUAUUGGUCAAUGGGCGGGAGCCUGAACCAGCCAAGCCGCGUGAGGGAGGAAGGCCCUAUGGGUCGUAAACCUCUUUUGUCAGGGAACAAAAGCGAGUAUGUAUACUAGUCUGAGUGUACCUGAAGAAAAAGCAUCGGCUAACUCCGUGCCAGCAGCCGCGGUAAUACGGAGGAUGCGAGCGUUAUCCGGAUUUAUUGGGUUUAAAGGGUGCGUAGGCGGCGGUGCAAGUCAGCGGUAAAAGCCCGAGGCUCAACCCCGGCGAGCCGUUGAAACUGCAGUGCUAGAGAAGGCGAGAGGUACGCGGAAUGCGCAGUGUAGCGGUGAAAUGCUUAGAUAUUGCGCAGAACUCCGAUUGCGAAGGCAGCGUACUGGCGCCUGACUGACGCUGAGGCACGAAAGCGUGGGGAUCGAACAGGAUUAGAUACCC